rnacentral:rRNA from 1 species
CCUACGGGAGGCAGCAGUGAGGAAUAUUGGUCAAUGGACGAGAGUCUGAACCAGCCAAGUAGCGUGAAGGAUGACUGCUCUAUGGGUUGUAAACUUCUUUUAUAUGGGAAUAAAAUGUUCCACGUGUGGGAUUUUGUAUGUACCCUAUGAAUAAGCAUCGGCUAACUCCGUGCCAGCAGCCGCGGUAAUACGGAGGAUCCGAGCGUUAUCCGGAUUUAUUGGGUUUAAAGGGAGCGUAGGUGGAUUGUUAAGUCAGUUGUGAAAGUUUGCGGCUCAACCGUAAAAUUGCAGUUGAAACUGGCAGUCUUGAGUACAGUAGAGGUGGGCGGAAUUCGUGGUGUAGCGGUGAAAUGCUUAGAUAUCACGAAGAACUCCGAUUGCGAAGGCAGCUCACUGGACUGCAACUGACACUGAGGCUCGAAAGUGUGGGGAUCAAACAGGAUUAGAUACCCGGGUAGUC